AUGGUAACUCCAUAAACCCUUCUCAAAGAUUGUUUUUUUUUCUUACUUUUAUUUACCUCUUUAGAACCCUAAAAGAUGUUGAGAUUCAAAAGAGGGUUUCAUCAAUUAAAGUUCUCGUAUGAGUUUGGUUUGUGUGUCCAUGUUAAUUCUGUUAUUCUAGGAAAAACCCAGGUUGCAAAUCUUAUAAAUUUGAGUCCAAUUGCUGAAAAUCUUAAACCCCUUUUUAGUUAUAGAAGUCCUCAAAUUCCAUAUUUUUACUCUACUACCUUAGAUUGUUCGAAUCUGGGUACAAAUCUAACCAAAAUCACUAGUACUAGUGAUGAAAUUGGAUGUGACAAUGAUGAAAAUGGUGAGGAAGAUAAUGAGAUUGAAACUGGGAAAGUGGGUUUUAAAAAUGAGAGAUUUAACCAUGAUUUAGGGGUCAUUUUGGAGAUAUUGAUUGGAACAGAUUGCAAGAGCAACCCAUCUAAGAGUGAGAAUCCGGGCGAUAAACCGGGUGUGAUUAAUGGUGCUGAAGUGACUAACAAGCUCAACCAAUGUGGGAUUUUGCUUACUUCAGAGCUUGUGGUGGAGGUCCUUUCUAAAACUAGGAAUGAUUUGGAGGUAGCAUUCAUGUUUUUUCUGUGGUCCAGGAAGCAGCUGGAGUAUAAGCAUUCCUUAAGAGAAUACCAUACAAUGAUAUUGAUUUUGGCGAAGAGUAGGAAAUUUGAUACCACCUGGUCUUUGAUUGGUGAGAUGAUAAAACAUGGUAUUAUGAACCCUAAGACUCUCUUGAUUAUGAUUAGAAGGUAUUCUGGAACUCAUGAUGUAGUGAACGCACUUAAUACGUUCCAUACUUUUAAAAGGUUUAACUUUUCUGUUGGGGUGAAGGAAUUUCAGAAGCUUCUUUCUGCUCUUACUCGAUAUAAGAAUGUAAAGGAAGCUGAGCACUUACUCUUGAGUAACAAAGACAUAUAUCCAUUCAAUACCAAGAACUUUAACAUCAUCCUGAAUGGUUGGUGUAAUAUCGUAGGUAGCCCACGUGAAGCUAAUAGAUUCUGGAGAUUGAUGAUUGAUCUAGGAGUGAAACGCAAUGUUAUUUCUUUUCAUGUAUUAUAUCAUGCUACUCAAAGUUGAGCAGGCUGAAGGAGGUGCUGGAAUUGUUUGACCAGAUGAAGGAAAUGCAGAUUGAGCCUGAUAUGAAAGCUUAUAAUGCUAUUUUGCACGCUCUUGCAAAGGAAGGUCGUGCAAAGGAGGCUUUGGAUAUUCUUCAAACCAUGAAAGAUAAGGACAUUGUUCCAAAUGCUGUCACUUAUAACUCAUUGAUAAAGCCAUUAUAUGAGGCCCGGAGAAGGGAUGAAGCGAAGAAAGUGUUUGAUGCGAAGCUCAGCCGUGGAUUACAUGCGUUCUUGCGUAUUCAAAAGACAGGAGAAGAGAUCUUCAUGCUGUUAGAUAAAAUGAAGGAGUUGGGUUAUCAACCAAAUAAAGACACUUAUCUAAUCUUAAUUAGGAAAUUUUGCAGAUGGCGUCAGCUAGACAAAGUGUUUUACCUGUGGGAUCAGAUGAAGCAGAAUGGUUUGAAUGAUGAUACAACUUCAUAUAUAGUUUUGAUCCAUGGAUUGUUUUUGAAUGGCAAGCGGGAAGAAGCACACAAGAUUUAUAUAGAGAUGAAGGAGAAAAAGUUGCUUGCAGAUGUAAAAACAGAUGAAUUGAUCCAGACCUGGUUGUCUAAUAAGCAAUUGGCAAGUUCACCUGUGACGAGUUCAGAAGCAAGCUUGGUGGACAGUGAUCAUGUUAUAGCGAAACCAAACCCCUAGUAAACAGCUUGAUCUAGCAAGUGAUGCUACAAAGCAACAUAAACACAGAAAAGUUGUAAAAUCAGGGUUUCUCUUUUUGGAAGUGACCAGCUAUUAUGCCUUAGAUGGCUAACACUUGUCAGCAGCAUAUGAAAAUCCUUAUGCUACUCAGCGAGCUUGAUUAUACUACUUGUCAUUUCUAGAAUGACAUGUUAUUAUAGCUAGAGGAUUCAUUCAUUUGUUCCAGUGGCUAUAUAUGACUCUCCCUCCCUGGCUUCGUCAUGCACCUUUCAGUCUUACCGCGGUUACAAUUUCUGGCCUCCAUAAUCAUCUUCUACCUCCUGUCAUUGCUGCUCUAACUUUGUGAGAUAGUUUAGUCCACUACUUUGAAGAAUUCACCUGAAGAUUACACCCUCAUCUCCUUUUGUGGUGUUUGUUGAGAAUGGUUGCUCUUUUGCAAUCUCAUGCUUCUGCUAUAUCCUGUUGCACUGUCUGAACAAACCACGAUAUGUAGAAUCUUUAUUUUGCUGGUCCCAUGUGCAAUUCACUCUCUUUUUCUGUUGGGGGUGGGGGAAUUCAUUCCGUAUGUCUGAACAAACUGCACCCUCAAUGGUGUAUUUUGUCUAAUCAGUCCUACUCUCUGUAGUUGUGAUCUUUGAGUUGUUUGUAGGUGAUGAUGCGUAAAACUGGUCA